CGUGUGGUUCUAUUUUGUUGGUUAUGGGACCGCCGUAAUGAUUAAUAGGGACAGUCGGGGGCAUCAGUAUUCAAUUGUCAGAGGUGAAAUUCUUGGAUUUAUUGAAGACUAACUACUGCGAAAGCAUUUGCCAAGGAUGUUUUCAUUAAUCAGGAACGAAAGUUAGGGGAUCGAAGACGAUCAGAUACCGUCGUAGUCUUAACCAUAAACUAUGCCGACUAGGGAUCGGGCGAUGUUACUUUUUGACUCGCUCGGCACCUUACGAGAAAUCAAAGUUUGUGGGUUCCUGGGGGAGUAUGGUGGCAACGCUGAAACUUAAAGAAAUUGACGGAAGGGCACCACCAGGGGUGGAGCCUGCGGCUUAAUUUGACUCAACACGGGGAAACUCACCAGGUCCAAACACAAUGAGGAUUGACAGAUUGAGAGCUCUUUCUUGAUUUUGUGGGUGGUGGUGCAUGGCCGUUCUUAGUUGGUGGAGUGAUUUGUCUGCUUAAUUGCGAUAACGAACGAGACCUUAACCUGCUAAAUAGCCCGUGUUGCUUCUGCAGCACGCCGGCUUCUUAGAGGGACUAUCGGCUCAAGCCGAUGGAAGUUUGAGGCAAUGACAGGUCUGUGAUGCCCUUAGAUGUUCUGGGCCGCACGCGCGCGACACUGACAGGCCAGCGAGUCUCCCUUGUCCGAAAGGACGGGUAUCUGUAAACCCUGUCGUGC
rnacentral:rRNA from 1 species